UUCUAGAACAAGUGCUGAGAAUCUGGGA
rnacentral:piRNA from 1 species